AGGACGUGAGGAACGGUUAAAACUUGCUUAUGCGAGAAGAUCGUUCUGCCCAAAGCCUGUUACGACAACUGGACGCUCUCUUUUGUUACAUCUGAUCCC
rfam:Brassica napus, WGS project CCCW01000000 data, contig: 12737